rnacentral:rRNA from 1 species
AGUGAACGCUGGCGGUAGGCCUAACACAUGCAAGUCGAACGGCAGCACAGUAAGAGCUUGCUCUUACGGGUGGCGAGUGGCGGACGGGUGAGGAAUACAUCGGAAUCUACUUUUUCGUGGGGGAUAACGUAGGGAAACUUACGCUAAUACCGCAUACGACCUACGGGUGAAAGCAGGGGAUCUUCGGACCUUGCGCGAUUGAAUGAGCCGAUUUCGGAUUAGCUGGUUGGCGGGGUAAAGGCCCACCAAGGCGACGAUCCGUAGCUGGUCUGAGAGGAUGAUCAGCCACACUGGAACUGAGACACGGUCCAGACUCCUACGGGAGGCAGCAGUGGGGAAUAUUGGACAAUGGGCGCAAGCCUGAUCCAGCCAUACCGCGUGGGUGAAGAAGGCCUUCGGGUUGUAAAGCCCUUUUGUUGGGAAAGAAAAGCAGCAGGUUAAUACCCCGCUGUUCUGACGGUACCCAAAGAAUAAGCACCGGCUAACUUCGUG